rnacentral:lncRNA from 1 species
AUUAGCUUUUGCUUUUUCUGCCAUAUAUUUAUAAUACACUCUCCUUAUUUUAUUUUCCUAGGUUUACUAUUUCUCCCGAGCAACAGUUUUCUCUACCCAGCAUCUACAAAGUUCAAGCAGAUCUUCAGAAUUUCCUUCCCUCUUCCCCCACCCCAUACCAUUGCUGAGGCAUUGAGCUGGGAUCUUCCAUUAGGAUCAGGUAGGUGUAUCACACUCACUAUAUGUCCUCGUACUGCAGUCGCGCUGGCGUUGGUCCUUCCUGGGUUUGGUUUUUAAAAACGACCCACGGUCUUAAACUUCAGCAACCGGCAAGGCUAGAUUUUCUUUCAUAAAAUUCUCACGUGCCCUAGCUGCAACAUAAAUGGAAACAUACCAAAAGGGAAAUUUCAGAGUUGAUUUGGUGGGGUAUGGACCCCACUAACAAUUCUUGGUACUUGGCUAGCAAUCUUUCAAACCCUAAUUAGCCUUCACAACUCCCUGGGAACUGAGGAAGUGUUAGCCCUGUUUAACCAGCAAAAAAAGUGAGGCAGAGGGAGAUUAAGUGAAAUGCUUAAACUGCACAAAGUCAAUGGUAGAACUCAGCGGUCCCCAACUGCCAGCCUCAUGGACAAUCCACUAACCCACACUGUCUCUCAGAGCCUGAUAAAUAAUCUUGGGCCUUUGAACGCUCAUUAGUUGUAUUUACUCCCAUAGUAAAAUGAGUAACAC